rnacentral:rRNA from 1 species
CAUGUGGUUUAAUUCGAAGCAACGCGAAGAACCUUACCAGGUCUUGACAUCCCGAUGCUAUUCUAGAGAUAGAAAGUUACUUCGGUACAUCGGUGACAGGUGGUGCAUGGUUGUCGUCAGCUCGUGUCGUGAGAUGUUGGGUUAAGUCCCGCAACGAGCGCAACCCUCGACCUUAGUUGCCAGCAUUCAGUUGGGCACUCUAAGGUGACUGCCGGCUAAAAGUCGGAGGAAGUGGGGAUGACGUCAAAUCAUCAUGCCCCUUAUGACCUGGGCUACACACGUGCUACAAUGGGCGGUACAAAGGGUCGCGAACCCGCGAGGGGGAGCCAAUCCCAAAAAGCCGCUCUCAGUUCGGAUUGCAGGCUGCAACUCGCCUGCAUGAAGCCGGAAUCGCUAGUAAUCGCGGAUCAGCAUGCCGCGGUGAAUACGUUCCCGGGCCUU